rnacentral:misc_RNA from 1 species
GUCCGGACGCAAUCCCAUCGCGCAGCUCGGCUACUCAAUCGGACCGGUUCGACUACGAGUUCCACUGCCAGGCAUCGACAAGACCGCGACGUCACAUGUGAUGAUCGACAUCUCCGCUUUCCAGGCGGUCGCGCUCAUCGUGGCCGCCACAGCGAGCGACAGCGCGACGCUGCGGUCCGGCCUCAUUUCCUUCAAGCGUGACCGGCCGUUCGACGAAGACAGGGCGGCCGGUGCGACGAUCGGGAUGUUUCCGGUUCUCUACGAACGCGACGAUCUCACGCGGGCCCACGAGAUGGUGCACGCCGUCCAGAGUCUUCAGCUCAGCGCGCCCGAACCGGCGAUUCCCUGGCGCUUCAUGACCUUCAAGGACAAGGAUCCGCAGCGGAAGAAGCUCGUGCGG